UGUGACUGUGAUGAGCCAAUACAGACCUGUAAUGACUUGCGAAAAUGAUCGCAACUUAUGAACAUCUAAGGGACUGAGUCUCG